AUGAUAUGCCUCCCGUUGCACGGAGACCAGUUCAGCAACGCCAGGUACGUGUGCGAUGUCUGGAAGGUGGGAGUGGAGAUCGAGGCGUCGUCGGCGGCUGGGCAGAACCUGGAGAGAGGGAAGAUCAAGGCUGCCAUCGACAAGAUUGUGCACGACAAAGGGAUUAGAGAGAGGAUGGAUGCCUUCAAAUUAGCUGCAGAUGAAGCAGUUAACUCCCAAACUGAGGUGAAAGCUUUGGUUGAUCUCAUAAACUCGUUUUAA
rnacentral:rRNA from 1 species